rnacentral:lncRNA from 1 species
CAUAUGCUUUAUUUGUUACCCUUUCAUGAUGAUUUGGAGCUCUACAGGUACGACAUCGACAUGACGAAAUGCAUCUACUGUGGUUUCUGCCAAGAAGCCUGUCCCGUUGAUGCAAUUGUGGAAGGACCUAACUUUGAAUUCGCAACCGAGACACACGAGGUCAGCUUUAUCACACAGUUUUCUAUCCAUCUAUGCUUUUGUGGCAUGCAUAUUGAACCUUUUGUUAUUCCCUCCUUUUCAUAGGAACUUCUCUAUGACAAAGAAAAGCUUCUUGAGAAUGGAGAUCGAUGGGAGACUGAGAUUGCUGAGAAUCUGAAGUCAGAGAGUCUCUACCGUUAAAAAAGACAUUCUGCAACAGUCUUUUGCUUCAAGUUAUUUCCCGGGAAAACGUUUUUUCAUUGCUUCUGCUAGAAAUAAAAAAUGAGAUCUUAUGAGUUUGAAAACUCCUCUUUUGUGUUCCAGCUUUGUGCUGUGUAUAAUUGAUAUGUUCUGCUUUUGAAGCGAGACAACACAUCCCAUAUUUUCAUUGAUUUAUAUCCAUAAUACCUGCAUGGUUAAUUACUAUUUUUCAAAAAGUGAUUUUGUACAUGAUUGUGCUUCUAUAUAAGAACAAUCCGUGGUUAAUUACUAUUUGUACGUGAUUUAUAUACAUACGUGCAUGGUUAAUUGCUAUGAUGGCUUUUAUCUAUUUAUCUAUAUUUGUACGUCAGAAUCUUGUGCUUACCGUGGUAAUAAGAUUCUGACACUUGUGGAGUUUAGGCAGUAUCUGAAUUUCAAGCCACCAGAAGUUGCCACGUGUAUAAACAAGAUAGAGUCUUCAACGAGAACCACUAGCUUUAAUCUUUCUGGAGAAAACAAGACAAAGAGAUUCUGAUGAGAAAGAAAGAAAAAUUUUACAAAACAAAAGACCGAACACAUUAGUUAAGUAAUGAUAAUACACUCUCCAUCUCCUAUCCAUCGCACGAGUUUCUCGAACAGUCGAAGUAGAUCUCAGUGUCAGAGCCGCUUGGUGACUAGAUCGGCCGCGGUUCGUAUAUCCACGGCGGCGUUUGGGGCCGUAGCUGCAGCGGUUAUGAUGGCCUCUGUGUCCACAGCUUACGCAGAGCUUCCUCCUCCGCCGCAAGACGGUGAAACGCUAUCAAACGUACCGCAGACGCUAUCAGGUGAAGACUGCAAGAAACAGAGGAUACAACGACCCAAAUCCAAGAACGCAGAGAAAUGCACUGUUAAAUGCGUCAACACUUGCAUUCGCGGUGGAGACGGAGAAGGACCGCUCAAUAUCAGAAGGUUCCUCUCUCUCUCUCUAUCUCUCUUUCUUUUUUCAUUCACUUUUGGUUACUAAUCUUUUCUCUCUUAUGACUGUUUCUGAUGGAAAAGGCCAUUAGUGGUGUUCAAACAAGGGUUUCGUAGCCGUAAUUACUGGUAAAUUACAUUCCUAGCGUUGUUGUUCAGCAUGAAUCUUUAACCUAUAGGAGCUGAUGAUUCUUGUGUGUGUGUGUGUAGCUUAGUGGAAUGUUCGGAUAUAUGCAACUUGAUCGGAGAUGGUGACUAUGAACCUUGAAACGUUUAUCAAUAAGAAGAAACUAUGGAUAAAGGACCUCAUGUACCUUCAUAUUAUUUAAAAUGGUAGAAACGUCUAUAACAAAAUUUGAGAGUGUCUUAAGCAAAAUAUAAUUUGAGAGUGUCUUGUUUCUUCAUGACGUGGUAGCUAACACACGUUGGCUAAUCAAAACCUUUUCCUCGUUGAUAUUAUGAUAUGUUAGGUAGUAAUAUGGCUGAACAGAAUUAAUGGGUAUACUUUUCGUUACCCUAAAGCCCUAUUAAAAUCUAAAACCCAAAACCCGUAUGUUCAGUUUUCAAAUUUCGCGGGUUUAUUUUAGACGGGUCUUGAUUUAUAAAUUACCCGAUCCGGUUUUACUCUAUUGGGUUUCGGAUACCCUAUGGGCCUUUUUUUUAAAACAUGUAUUUUUUUUUUAAACAUGUAUUGUUCUUGGUAACAUUGAUAGAUAUUUAUAGAUUUAAUAAAUAUUAAGGAUAAUUAAUAUCAUUUAUUUUAAUUUUAGAUUUGCAAGAUAUUAUAGACUUUAGUUUACGACCUUAUAAUAAUAAAUAAUUUUAUCUUUUCCACUUGCAUACAUAUGUAAUUCUCGAAAUUACAUAUUAAUGUAUCAUGAACGUGAACAUAUUCACCGGUAAAUGCACAUUUUUUUUGGCAAAUUCUCAAUAACAUGUUCGAAAACUCGCUAGGCGCUACGCAUGCGGCUGGGUAGGGCCUAGCGCCGAAUCAAUUAAUCGGAGACUAUAUGGAGAUUAAUCGGAGAGUAAUGUUAUGGAUUUUAUAUAUAUUUUAGGUGUUAUAUAAUUAAUGUGUGUACUAAAACAGUUAAAGACUAGGCUAGUCGUAAUGUACCUUCCCUACCUUAUCACAGGCCCGGGUUCGAACAGUAGAAGGCUCAUUUUGACAAUUUUUUUUAAUUUUUAGGUUUAAUGAACCGGAAAAAACGAAAAUAUCCCUGUCUUCAACCUACAUCUCUGCGAUUUUUUACAGAGCAACAGCCGCCAUUGUUUUUUCUUUUGCGAUUUCAUUGUUUAAUCUUGUUAAUCUUGAAGAUUUUAAUCACAAAAGAACAAAUCUAAGAGAUAUAUGUCAUUUGGAACAUAAAACAUACAAAAACGAUAAUAUUUUAAAAUUUUCCGAUUAAUGCUCCGAUUAAUAUCAAAUCGCGACGGUGGUCCUCCGAACCACGCAUUUCCGCCGAUUAACCGGCCGCGGAAGCCGCGUUUUCGAACAGGGUUUUUUACCACAGGUUUGAUAUCAUUUUACCCUAAAUAAUAAACAAUAGUCAUAAACCGUAAAUAUUAGAGUUUUUUUAUUGAAUGUAUUUUUGAAAAGUGAUGUCCAAUUUAAGAUACUUUAAGUAAUCAAAUUUUUAUUUUAUCACAAGUUUGAAACCAUUUUCAAAUUUACCUUUAAAUGAUAAUAAUUUUGAUAAAUACCCUGAAUUUGUAAUAAAAAAUAUUAAAUAAACUUCCUUAAUUCAUUUAUAAAUUUUUAAGAAUAAUUUAUAAAUAUUUAUAAAAUUUUAUAAACCCAACCUCACCCUCUAAAUAAUAAACCAUAAACAAUAAUCACUAACCAUAACCCAAAUGUUAGUGUAUUUUUUAUGAGUACAUUUUUGAAAAGUGGUAUCCAAUUUAGGAUAUUUUAAGUAAUUUCUCUUAUUUUUUAUACUUUCUAGCGCUAUAAACAUGUUCAUUUCUUACAAAUCCAGUAAAAAUGUUAGUUUGCAGAAUUAGGUUUGAGAUAGUUAUUUUACAAAAUUAUUUUUUAAUGAUCCAUGGUUCAACCAAUUUGACCAAAUGAUCCAUGAAUGAUUUGAAAUAUAGUACUUUUAUCGGUUCGUUUCAAAAGCAUUAUUAUGAAUCAAAUAAGAAGAUAGGACAUAUUUAAAAUCUAUACUAACCCGUAAAUAUAUAUAUUUGUUUCAUUGUCUUUUGGACUACCAUAUCUCUUGUUCUUGUAAUAUACACUCAUACAGAACCAACAUGAGAUUUUAAUGGUUCUUCUUGUAAUCUUAUUACAGGCGCUGCAAUCACUUUCUAUUAAUUAUGGAGUCUUCCAGGCUAUCUUCAACUACUGGAAAGACAAGGUUUGUGGCAUUAACCUUAUGGUUUGAUUGUUACAAGCUUUUUGGAUACAGACAUUGUGUUGCAUAGGUUGAUGAUAAAACCUUGUUUGACAUAUCAUUAGUUUGAUGUUUGAAGAAUAUGCUUUAUUAUUUAAUAUUACAAACCAGUAAGCCAUCUGGAGGAGCACGUUUGGCUUAUAAGACUAAUACGCAUAUGUUUCAUUUUCUUUUUGUAUGUAAACAUAGCGCAAAAGAUGGCAGAAGCCUAUCUUGAGGCGUUUGCAGGUUUGUACCAUUAUUUACGGUUGUUGAAACAAUCAAGGCCUAGGGAUCUUACCUUGAUUAUUUUGAUUGAAGUUCUGCUUCUUUGUUUGGAACAGCCUCCUCCACCGGUCAAUGACACCAAUCCGUACAAUGUGUUUAGGCCAAGGGAGAAAGCUCACAGACUCCACACAAGAAGGGUAUGCUCUUAUCGUGAUACUUUCUUAUAUAUAAAUUCUAUCAGAGAAAGAAAACCACUAAUAAGCUUUGAUUCUGCUACUAUAGAUGCAAAGGAGAGAAAACAAUGUGCAGUCGUUUGAAAAGCUUCGACAGGUAAGCAUGGCUUCUUUUAGUUUCUUUCUGGGCUGUUAAUUAUCUGUUAGUGCUCUUUCAUGAUUUUUUUUCUGUUUGAUUCUGAAUAUUAUUAUGCUUAUUAUUCAGGUUAGACGCAAUCUUGACCAAGCGAAGACCAUUCUAGAAGCCCUCAUUAAGGUGUUCUUUAUGACAGUUUUAUAAUAUUGACUUGUAUGUAACUUCAUUUCAUAUCUUAACAAAAAGGGUUGCAUCCUCAAAAGUCACUUAUUCGAUGUUACUAUUUGCCAGAGAGAAGAAAAGAAGAGGGAUGUCAUGGAUGGCGAGGUUAGCCUUCAGAGAAUGCAACUCCAAUACAGGGUACUACUUACUCCUCCUCCUCCUAGAACUCUUGUGUGUGUUAUUGAUGCUCAAGUCUGACAUUUGGGUUUUGAUAUUGCAGCAUGAAACAGAGCUCUUGGAAGACCCACCAGCUACAACAACAUCUUACAAAUUUGGGUCAAGCGACGAGGAGUUGAUGGACUCAGAUGACUACACCAGCACCCAUGUACGCACAAGACCAUCCGUCAUCCCUAACUCUCGUUUCACAAACUCAAACCUCAAUGCACCUCAACCCGGAGGCAUAAAACAAGAAGUUAGGAGACGACACUCGCAUCACAACUGGCUUCACAAACUGGUUAUAGCCGUCUCUCUAUCUCUCUUUAGUUGCUAUAACUAAUCACUAAACCAAAUCCUGUACACUGGUUCAGGAUCCUAAUGAAGCGGUGAUGCUGUUCACAAAACCGCUGGUUCCUGAGAAACUGGCAGCUGCAGGGAUCGUUCCUCCAGCACCUGAUACAUCCUCCGGUCACCCUCAAAGCCGGUUUCAGGGGAGGAUGGGGCGUGGUGGCCGGAUAAUAUUCGAUAGAUGGAAUCCGUUGAUGCAAUCUCACAUUAACUGUGGGAACUCUUUCUACAUUGCACCAAAUCAUUGAUCUACCAAAAAAAAAAAACAUUUUCACAAUCUUUCUUUGUAAAGAAGUGUACGCAAGAACUAUCAGUUAAAAGCUUUUGCACUUUGUAACUCCAAAAUUUAGAUUGUAUCCCGUUAAAAAGGGAAUGAUUCGGUUAAUCCGGUUAUAUCACCGGUUUAGGAAUUCAAUUGCUAUUGUACCAGGGACGAAAAUGUAAUAAUAUUUUAUACUGAACUGGAUUUGACUUUUUGUAACUCAAUGAUUCGGUUAAUUUUAUAAUCCGGUAAUGACACCGGUUUAGUAAUCCAAUUGGUAUUGUACCAGGGACUAAAUCGUAAACUAUCUUUGUUGGUUUUAAUCUGAGUGAAGAAGAAGAAGAAGGAAGGAAGGAGCGGACCCUAAAUCGAAUCUCAUCAUCAUCAAUGGCUUCGAUGCUGGCUCGCAGGUCACUGGAUACUCUCCGUGCUCGCCAUCUCGUAUGAUUCUCCUUCGCUCCUUUCUUUUUACUUUUCUACUUGUUUGGAUGUCUCUUAAGAGUUUUUUGGGAUCAAAUAAGAUUAUUAUCUGUCUCUUCGGGAUUGUGUCUCAAAAUCGAAACUGUGUGAUUCAGACCGAACCUUGUGUCUUAAUUAUUUAGAUUGUAGAUUGAAAAAAGGAAUUUGAUAGGGAUUUAAUUUUAUCUAACUGAUCUAGGAAUCAUAUGAGGGAGACUCCGUCACGAAAUGAUAGUUUAUUUUGCGUGAUUGUGGUGUAGGUUACUUAUUGGCUACCUCUCUUAUUAGCUUUAUCUUCAUUUCCAUAGGUUUUGUCAGGGAAAGCUUUGCAGGGAUGUCAUCUUUAUGGACUGCAGUCCCGUGCUAUUUCUUACGGCUCCAAGAAAGGUAUAUUCUCUUCUCUUCUCUUCUCUGCUCUUUUUGUUUUCAUUGUCGUUUUUAAACAUUCAUAUGUGUUUGCCUUGUGUAAUUGGUUCAGAUGAUGAAGAAGAGGAGCAACUUGCUAAGGAAAUCUCCAAGGACUGGAAUACUGGUAAAACCUAUUUACAUAUGUUCUCAGACUCUUUUCUUUUCUCAUACUUUGCUUCUUCUUUUUUUGGCAGUCUUUGAACGGAGCAUAAACACACUGUUUCUCACUGAAAUGGUCCGUGGUUUGUCGUUGACUCUCAAGUACUUCUUUGAUCCCAAAGUUACUGUGAGUUACUUACUUACAUCUUUCAAACCUCUCUUUGUUUGAAAGAAACUCUGUAUUGAUUCUGAAGCUCCUAUUUCUUGUGUGUGUAUUCCAGAUCAAUUAUCCAUUUGAGAAGGGUCCGCUGAGCCCUCGCUUCCGCGGUGAACAUGCUCUUCGUCGUUAUCCUACUGGGGAGGAACGCUGCAUUGCCUGCAAACUCUGUGAAGCUGUGAGUCUUGAUUUGAUGUUCUUUUGUAUUAAUAGCUCUUGUAAGGCAUCUCAAGUGAAUGAGUACCUUUGCAUUGAUUUAACAAAGAUUGUUAACUCUCUUCUUCGCAAUCCCGAUUCUGCUGCUGAUAUACGCCAUAGCUCCAGAUCACAGGCUGAUGCUUAUGGAAAUUUAUCCUGGUUAUUAGGAGAACCAUUUGAGUAUUAGUGUAAUAUUUCCUGUUAAAGUCGCUAGCAAUUCUGAUGAAUUGCCUCAUACUUGAUGCAUAUUAUCUGCUCACUAGAUCAUAUAGUAUCUUACAAGGCUAUUGAAUAAUUUCUUUCGUUGGAUUGUGAUAUUGAGAGGGAUACUUUGUGUAUCUAUUUCAUCAGGUAUGUCCAGCUCAAGCAAUCACAAUAGAAGCAGAGGAGCGUGAAGAUGGUAGCCGUAGAACCACUAGGUCACAUAUCCCUGCACUUGCAGUUUAAUAACCACAUAUGCUUUAUUUGUUACCCUUUCAUGAUGAUUUGGAGCUCUACAGGUACGACAUCGACAUGACGAAAUGCAUCUACUGUGGUUUCUGCCAAGAAGCCUGUCCCGUUGAUGCAAUUGUGGAAGGACCUAACUUUGAAUUCGCAACCGAGACACACGAGGUCAGCUUUAUCACACAGUUUUCUAUCCAUCUAUGCUUUUGUGGCAUGCAUAUUGAACCUUUUGUUAUUCCCUCCUUUU